rnacentral:rRNA from 1 species
ACUCAAAUGAAUUGACGGGGACUUGCACAAGCGGUGGAUCAUGCGGCUCAAUUCGAUGGCAAACGAAGAACCUCACCAGGGCUAGAAAUGCAGACGAAAAUCCUCAGAAACGAGGACCUUCGCAAGACGGCUGCACAGGUGAUGCAUGGUCGUCGUCAGUUCGUGGCUUGAGUUGUUCCCUUCAGUGGGGUAACGAACGCAACCCUCGUUGCCUGUUUUAUAAGUCAGGCGAGACUGCCCCCUCACGGGGGAGGAAGGUGAGGAUGACGCCAGAUCAGCAUGUCCCUCUGAUGCCCUGGGCUGCACGCAUGAUACAAUGCACGAGACAACGGGUCGCGACGGGGUAACCCUGAGCUAAUCCUUAUAAACUCGUGCUCAGUUCGGAUUGAGGUCUGCAACUCGACCUCAUGAAGCUGGAAUCGCUAGUAAUCGCGGGUCAGCUAUACCGCGGUGAAUACGUUCUCAAGUCUUGUACACACCGCCCGU